rnacentral:misc_RNA from 1 species
UCCGGUUUGGCACCGGCAGUCCCCCUAGAGUGCCCGGCUUUACCCGCUGGUAACUAGGGGCGGGGGUUGCGCUCGUUGCGGGACUUAACCCAACAUCUCACGACACGAGCUGACGACAGCCAUGCAGCACCUGUGCUGAGACCCCGAAGGGGGCGCGCCGUUUCUGGCGCGUUUCCUCAGCAUGUCAAGCCUAGGUAAGGUUCUUCGCGUUGCGUCGAAUUAAACCACAUGCUCCACCGCUUGUGCGGGCCCCCGUCAAUUCCUUUGAGUUUCAGCCUUGCGGCCGUACUCCCCAGGCGGGGCACUUAAUGCGUUAGCGCCGGCACCCGGGGGGUCGCUCCCCCAGGCACCUAGUGCCCAUCGUUUACGGCGUGGACUAC